rnacentral:tRNA from 1 species
AGGGGCGUAGCUCAGUUGGUAGAGCGCCGAUCUCCAAAAUCGGAUGCCGGGGGUUCGAGUCCCUCCGCCCCUG